GACGAACGCUGGCGGCGUGCUUAACACAUGCAAGUCGAACGGAAAGGCCCAGCAUUUGGGGGGUGCUCGGGUGGCGAACGGGUGGGUAAGAAGUGAGUAGCAUGGCCUUGACUUUGGGGUAACUUCUGAAAACUGGGGCUGAUACCACAGAGGAUCUCCUGCGGCGUGAAGGGGGGGGGCAAGGUUCGUCGGGUGGGGAUGGACGCGGGGGUUAUCAGCUUGUGGGGGGGGGAGUGGCUCACCAAGGCUUUGACGGGUAGCCGGCCUGAGAGGGUGACCGGCCACAUUGGGCCUGCGGGACGGCCCAGACUCCUACGGGAGGCAGCAGUGGGGAAUAUUGCCCAAUGGGCGGACGCCUGAGGAAGCAACGCUGCGUGCGGGAUGAAGGCCUUCGGGUUGUAAACCGCUUUCGCCUGUGACGAACCGUGAGUGACGGUAACGGGUAAAGAAGCACCGGCUAACUACGUG
rnacentral:rRNA from 1 species